rnacentral:rRNA from 1 species
UACGUAGGGUGCAAGCGUUAAUCGGAAUUACUGGGCGUAAAGCGUGCGCAGGCGGCUUUGCAAGACAGGUGUGAAAUCCCCGGGCUUAACCUGGGAACUGCACUUGUGACUGCACGGCUUGAGUGCGGCAGAGGGGGAUGGAAUUCCGCGUGUAGCAGUGAAAUGCGUAGAUAUGCGGAGGAACACCGAUGGCGAAGGCAAUCCCCUGGGCCUGCACUGACGCUCAUGCACGAAAGCGUGGGGAGCAAACAGG